rnacentral:misc_RNA from 1 species
GAAAUGCGAUAAGUAGUGUGAAUUGCAGAAUUCAGUGAAUCAUCGAAUCUUUGAACGCACAUUGCGCCCUUUGGUAUUCCUUAGGGCAUGCCUGUUCGAGCGUCAUCUAAACCUUCAAGCCCUGCUUGGUGUUGGGUGCCUGUCCCGCCUCCGCGCGCGGACUCACCUCAAAUCCAUUGGCGGCCCCCGCGUCGGCCACGAGCGCAGCAGAAACGCGCACUCGUGAGCCCGUCCGGGCGGCUCCCAGAAGCUACACCCACCCAGUUUGACCUCGGAUCAGGUAGGGAUACCCGCUGAACUUAAGC